GACGUAGGGGACGAGCGUUGUUCGGAUUCAUUGGGCGUAAAGGGUGCGUAGGCGGCGCGGUAAGUCGGGUGUGAAAUCUCGGAGCUUAACUCCGAAACUGCAUUCGAUACUGCCGUGCUUGAGGACUGGAGAGGAGACUGGAAUUUACGGUGUAGCGGUGAAAUGCGUAGAUAUCGUAAGGAAGACCAGUGGCGAAGGCGGGUCUCUGGACAGUUCCUGACGCUGAGGCACGAAGGCCAGGGGAGCAAACGGG
rnacentral:rRNA from 1 species